rnacentral:tRNA from 1 species
GAGGGUAUAGCUUAGUGGUAGAGUGCAUGCUUAGCAUGCAUGAGGUCCUGGGUUCAAUCCCUGGUAUCUCCA